GGUUAAGCGACUAAGCGUACACGGUGGAUGCCCUGGCAGUCAGAGGCGAUGAAGGACGUGCUAAUCUGCGAAAAGCGUCGGUAAGGUGAUAUGAACCGUUAUAACCGGCGAUGUCCGAAUGGGGAAACCCAGUGUGAUUCGUCACACUAUCGUUAACUGAAUACAUAGGUUAACGAGGCGAACCGGGGGAACUGAAACAUCUAAGUACCCCGAGGAAAAGAAAUCAACCGAGAUUCCCCCAGUAGCGGCGAGCGAACGGGGAGCAGCCCAG
rnacentral:rRNA from 7 species